UGCUAGGGUUUCCAUUUUUGGAGAGACCAUGGGAAAGUGCAAUCUCCCUGACCACCGAGGAAGAGACUGUUCUCUGGGAGGCUACCAGUGUUACGAGUGUGAGGAGAGGAAGAGAGACACUCCACCCAGCUGUUUGAGCUGAAAUCCACCUUUCGAGAAGGCAGGUGCACCUCUGGAAAGGACCAGGCCGUGUGGAGGUGUAGGGACUGUGCGUUCUUACCCAUUUACUUCUUGCUGCUAAGAAGCUUUUCCAGUGGAUGGAAGUGCACUUAGGCAGAUGUAGCUGCCUUUUGUAACUUCAUGGAGAUGUCUGGCAGCUGCCUUGCCUCUUUUUCUUUUUUCCUUUCGCUGCCACGCUGCUGGUGAAUCAAGUGUUUGGUUGAAGGAGCUGUUUGGAUCUUGUGCCCAAAGAUCCCCUUUCCUGCUCUCACUCCACAAGACGGCAGCAGGAGGCCCCUGGCAUUUUGGGGGCACUGGCAUCUGGUCUGAAAAGAUCCCCUCUUCUCCCUCCCUCUGUCCGGCGAAACUUCCCCCUUCCUUGUCCUCCCCCUUUUUGGGAGAAGGAAUUCAGCACAGCCCUUUGAGACCUGAGAAAUAUCAGGGGUGGUCGUUUAUUUCAAGAACUGAAAGAGGGGUCCAUGUCAAAACAGGCAUAGGAUCUGCCAAGCUCAAAUUAAUGUGCAAGGAAUAAUAAAGCUGCUUACAGGAAGUGAAGUGACUAUCCCAUCAUACAACUAACUGUAAAGAAUGAUGGUAUAUAAACCUCUGGAAGGGACCCCAAGGGUCAUCCAGUCCAACCCGCUGCAUCGCAGGAACAUGCAGAAGUCCCUUACGGGGAACAAUCCUGCAACCUUUGAAGGCUACUUAGGAAGCAAACAUAGCCAUCCACUAUUCUUGACUGGAAACAGAGGAAGUUCUACUUACAUCCUCCCUGGGAGCAUUUCAACAGUCAGGGGGUGACCCGGACCCCUAAGCCUAACUCCAAGCCUCUCCCUAACCCCGACCCUAACAACCCAAACCCAAACCCCUAGACAUAAAACAGCAGAAUUACAACUUCUGACCUUUGUCAAAGGUAAAGGUAAAGGGACCCCUGACCAUUAGGUCCAGUCAUGGCCGACUCUGGGGUUGCACCACACAUCUCGCUUUAUUGGCCGGUGUACAGCUUCCAGGUCAUGUGGCAAAACAUGACUAAGUAGUUGGCCAUCAUACAACUAACCUGGAGGUAUGUUUCUCUGUCUCUUCUUUGUGUGGCACUUUACAACUCUUGGGAAUAUGCAGGCGUCCCUUAUGGAGAUUCCCCUGCAACCUUGGUGUUCACAGUACCAAAAGCUGUUAGCAUUUAACUGUUAGGUGUCACAGCCAAAAAUGAGGCGCCUUUGCCAUCAUACAACUAACUUAAAGGAAGGCUAUUUCUGGUUAUUUCUGAAGCACAUUCCAAAGAAUCAUAUGAUAGUGUAUAUAUCUAACUGGAAGGGACCCCAAGGGUCAUCCAGCCCAACCCACUGCAAGGCAGGAAUAUGCAGAAUAACCACUAACCUUGGUUGUGCUGUCAUGGUUGCCCUAUGAAAUGGCACUUUUAUGGCAAUUUAAACUGCAGCUGCAAGUUGCGCCAUGAAGCACCCCUUGCCAUCCCCUUUUGCUGACUGGGAGCGGAGGAGGUGCUGCUUACAGUCUCCCCAGGAGCUUUUCAACAGUCAGGAGGAGGCCUGAAGCCUUCGGGGGGGAUUGAACAUCUGCUGAGAACAUUUAUGCCUCCAGAAAAGGAAAAAACAAUGGUCCUGCUCUAAGGGAAUGCUCAUGAGUGUAUAAGUGCUGCUCUUUAAAACACCUCUCUUAACAUUACAAACUGCUGCAAAUUUCCAAAACGCAUACAUCCGUGCCAGUGUUUGUCAACGUAAAUGAUUCAACUGGCCCUUGGUUUUGGCCCCCGUUGCAGGGGCUCAGCCCACUUAGUCUCCUGCCAUUGGGGCUCCCAGCCUAGGUGCAUGGCGGGGGAGAGGCUUAAAUCUUUGCAGUUGAUUUUUAAGGACUGACACACAAACACACACCCCAAAACUAUAUUAAGACAUUACUAAAUGCUAAGGUUUCCAUUUUUGGAGAGACCGUGGGAAAGUGCCAUCUCCCUGACCAUCGAGGAAUAGAGACUGUUCUCUGGGAGGUUGCCAGGGUUACGGGUGUGAGGAGAGGAAGAAAGACUUUUCACCCAGCUGUUUGAGCUGAAAUCCCUUUGGAGAAGGCAGGCUGCACCUCUGGAAAGGACCAGGCCGUGUGGAGGUGUAGGGACUGUGCGGUCUUACCGAUUUAGAGAGAUAGCUAGGUAUUGCCCACCUUUCCCAUUACUUCUUGCUGCUAAGAAGCUUUUCCAGUGGAUGGAAGUGGACUUAGGCAGAUGUAGCAUUCGACAUAAAGGAAUAAAGCAGAGCCCAUGCAGGCAACCCAUCUUUUUCCACUGCAGCCUUGUCUCUUUUUCUUCUCUUUCCUUUCACUGCCACGCUGCUGGGCGAAUCAGGUGUUUGGUUAAAGGAGCUGUUUGGGACUUGUCUCAAAAGAUCCCCUUUCCGCCUCUCACCCCACAUGGCAGCAGCAGGAGGGCACCUCUUCUCCCUCCAUCAGGCAAAACUUCCCCCUUCCUUCUCCUCCCCCUUCUUCUGAGCAAGAAUUCAGCACGCCCCAUAGAGACCUAAGAAAUAACGGGGGGGGGGGGGGGCGACUGAAUAGGGGUCCGUGUAAAAACAGGCACAGGAUCUGCAAGCUCCAAUUAACGUGCAAGGAAUAAUAAGGGAGCUCACAGGAAGUGAGGCUACUUUCCCAUCAUACAACUAACUUUGAGGAACACUAUUUCUCUUUCAUCUUUCUGAAGCCCUUUCCAAAGAAUAACCAUGGUAUGUAAACCUCUGGAAAGGACCACAAGGGUCAUCCAGUCCAACCCGCUGCAUCGCAGGAACAUGCAGGAGUCCCUUAUGGGGGAAAAUCCUAACAUCUUGGUUGUGCAGCUAAUGUUCCUCUCUUAAACGGCACUUUGAAGGCUACUUCAGGGAUCCCCACCUCUCCUGCAGCUGCAAGUUCAGCCAGGAAGCAAACAUGGCCAUCCACUAUUCUUGACUGGAAACAGAGGAAGUGCUGCUUACAUCCUCCCUGGGAGCAUUAAGGUAAAGGGACCCCUGACCAUUAGGUCCAGUCACGGACGACUCUGGGGUUGCAGCGCUCAUCUCGCUUUACUGCCCGACAGAGCCGGCGUACAGCAUGACUAAGCCGCUUCUGGCGAACCAGAACAGCGCACGGAAAUGCCGUUUACCAUCCCGCCGGAGCGGUACCCAUUUAUCUACUUGUACUUCGAACUGCUAGGUUGGCAGCAGCAAGGACCCUGCAAAGGGAGCUCACUCCGUCGCGGGGAUUCGAACCGCCAACCUUCUGAUUGCCAAGUCCUAGGCUCGGUGGUUUAACCCACAGCGACACCUGCAUCUCAUAACUUAAAGGAAUGCUAUUUCUGUUUCAUCUUUCUAAAGCACAUUCCAAAGAAUCAUAUGAUGCUGCAUUUAUAUCUAUAUCUGGAAGGGACCUCAUCGGUCAUCCAGCCCAACCCACUGCAAGGCAGGAAUAUGCAGGAGAAUAACCACUAACCUUGGUUGUGCUGUCAGUGUUGCCGGAUUAAAUGGCACUUUCAAGGCAAUUUAAACUGCAGCUUCAAGUUGCGCCAUGAAGCACCCCUUGCCAUCCCCUUUUGCUGACUGGGAGCGGAGGAGGUGCUGCUUACAGUCUCCCCAGGAGCAUUUCAACAGUCAGGAGGAGGCCUGAAGCCUUCGGGGGGAUUGUACAUCUGCUAAGAACAUUUAUGCCUCCAGAAAAGGAAAAAACAAUGGUCCUGCUCUAAGGGAAUGCUCAUGAGUGUAUAAGUGCUGCUCUUUAAAACACACCUCUUAACGUUACAAACUGCUGCAAAUUUACAAGACGCAUACAAAUACGUGCCAGUAUUUGUCAAUGUAAAUGAUUCAAUUGGCUUUUGGCUUUGGCCCCUGUUGCAGGGCUCAGCCCACUUAGUCUUGUGCCAUUGGGGCUCCCAGCCUAGGUGCAUGGCAGGGGACAGUCUUAAAUGUUUGCAGUUGAUUUUUAAGGACUGACACACACAAACACACACCCCAAAACUGUAUUAAGACAUUACUAAAUGCUAAGGUUUCCAUUUUUGGAGAGACCGUGGGAAAGUGCCAUCUCCCUGACCAUCGAGGAAUAGAGACUGAUCUCUGGGAGGUUGCCAGGGUUACUGGUGUGAGGAGAGGAAGAGAGACACUUCACUCAGCUGUUUGAGCUGAAAUCCACCUUUCGAGAAGGCAGGCUGCACCUCUGGAAAGGACCAGGCCUUGUGGAGGUGUAGGGACUGUGUGGUCUUACCGAUUUAGAGAGAUAGCUAGGUAUUGCCCACUGUUCCCUUUACUCCUUGCUGCUAAGAAUCUUUUCCGGUGGAUGGAAGUGGACUUAGGCAGAUGUAGCAUUCGACAUAAAGGAAUAAAGCAGAGCCCAUGCAGGCAACCCAUCUUUUUCCACUGCAGCCUUGCCUCUUUUUCUUCUCUUUCCUUUCGCUGCCACGCUGCUGGGCGAAUCAGGUGUUUGGUUAAAGGAGCCGUUUGGAUCUCGUCUCAAAAGAUCCCCUUUCCCCCUCUCGCCACUCUUCUCCCUCCCUCUGUCAAGCAAAACGUCCCCCUUCCUUCUCCUUCCACUUUUUGGGAGAAGGAAUUCAGCACAGCUCAGAGACCUGAGAAAUAACGGGGGGGGGGGGGCAGAUUUUUUCUAGAACCGAAAGAGGGGUCCAUGUAAAAACAGGCAGAGGAUCCGCCAAGCUCAAACUAAAGUGAAGGAAUAAUAAGGGAGCUCACAGAAAGCGAGGCGACUUUCCUG
rnacentral:lncRNA from 1 species